rnacentral:rRNA from 1 species
AACGUAGGACACAAGCGUUAUCCGGAGUUAUUGGGCGUAAAGAGCGUGUAGGCGGCUGGGUAGGUCCGUUGUGAAAACUCGAGGCUCAACCUCGAGACGCCGAUGGAAACCCUCCAGCUAGAGUCCGGAAGAGGAGAGUGGAAUUCCUGGUGUAGCGGUGAAAUGCGCAGAUAUCAGGAAGAACACCCGUGGCUAAGGCGGCUCUCUAGUACGGUACUGACGCUGAGACGCGAAAGCGUGGGGAGCGAACAGG